rnacentral:rRNA from 1 species
AGUGAACGCUGGCGGUAGGCCUAACACAUGCAAGUCGAACGGCAGCACAGUAAGAGCUUGCUCUUACGGGUGGCGAGUGGCGGACGGGUGAGGAAUACAUCGGAAUCUACUUUUUCGUGGGGGAUAACGUAGGGAAACUUACGCUAAUACCGCAUACGACCUACGGGUGAAAGCAGGGGAUCUUCGGACCUUGCGCGAUUGAAUGAGCCGAUGUCGGAUUAGCUAGUUGGCGGGGUAAAGGCCCACCAAGGCGACGAUCCGUAGCUGGUCUGAGAGGAUGAUCAGCCACACUGGAACUGAGACACGGUCCAGACUCCUACGGGAGGCAGCAGUGGGGAAUAUUGGACAAUGGGCGCAAGCCCGAUCCAGCCAUACCGCGUGGGUGAAGAAGGCCUUCGUGUUGUAAAGCCCUUUUGUUGGGAAAGAAAAGCAGCAGGUUAAUACCCCGCUGUUCUGACGGUACCCAAAGAAUAAGCACCGGCUAACUUCGUG